ensembl:lncRNA
CCCAAAGAGAGAGACAAUGAUCAGAACUGAGGCAGAAAGGAGACAAAGGCCAUCAAGAGAGGAUCUGGAGGGCAUGGAUAAUAACAGACAUGACACCUGUUUUAUGCUUUCCAAGGUGUUUGCUCCACAACCUGAUAAUCGGAUCCCAUUGGCUGAGCUAAUGUGACACGAUGGAGGAUUUGAAGUUCCCGGACUCCCGCAAGCAAAGCCACCCCAAGAGUUAAAGGGAUCAGAGCCAUCUCUUCAGUUCAAAGCCAAGCAGGCCAAUAGACUCGGGCCAUCGCCACCCACCCGCCAUGCCUGCAACCCCAGUUUUGUUGGGCUUGGAUUUCAGACAAAGAACUGAUGGGAGAUGAAGUCCCCGCCUCCCUCCCCCACCCCUACUCCUAUACAAAGGUCUCAUUACUCACCUACAACCUGGCACAACCCCACUGCUCCAGAGAAAGGCAUCUACUGCUCACAGGGAAGAAGGGCAGGGGGCUUCUUGGAGGAAGAUCUGAUCCUCGCACCCUAGCUCUUGGUAGCUGGUUCUCACUGAUGAGAGUCCAUUUGCCCCUCAGGGUAAGAAUCCAGGGAAAAACACACAUAAUGCUGAUCUUGAAGUCUGGGCUCUUCAUAAACAUACAAUAACUAGGUCCUGCUUUCCAAAAAGGGCCAGACCAGAUCACAUGCAGCGUUUUCCAAGCCAAUGGUUGAGAAAGCAACUCUUAAGCCCCUUCCCCCUCAUAAGAUCAGAGUUGGGAGAAGAAAGAGAAAGAGGUUUGGGGAGGACUUUUAGAGCCCUACCUGCAAAGGGGAAGUCAACCAGGUUGGUGGUGAAAGGCUUUAAGACUCAAAGGACCUUGCGAUGUCCCCAGUGUUUAGGGGCUGUGCUUGUGCGAGAAAUGGAGUGACUGACUAGCUAUGCCCAUCCAUGAAAGAAGGGUGGACAAGUGGAUGCCCUCCAAGUGUAUCUAGGCCAAGGAUGCCCAAGCC